UUGAGGGAACGUACGUGUUUAUUUUGACAGAGAUAAACAUACCAACUACGUUAUAUAAAGUUCUAGAUAGAAUACUGAUUAUGACUAUUUACUAUCUAUAUGUCUUGACCAAAUUACGUGCCAGCAGUCGCGGUAAUACGUAGAAGACUAGUGUUAUUCAUCUUUAAUAGGUUUAAAGGGUACCUAGACGGUAUUAUUAACCCAAAAUAGGGAAAUAAUUUUACUAGAGUUUGAUAUAAGAAGGGAGUAUUUAGGGAGUAGAGUUAAAAUUCUUUGAUACCUUGAGGACUGAUAAUGGCGAAAGCACUCUACUAUGUAAUAACUGACGUUAAGGGACGAAGGCGUGGGGCGCAAACAGGAUUAGAGACCCUAGUAGUCCAUGCAGAUAAUCAUGAAUGCCAUAGACUAGAUAUAUUUUAGUUUAUAAAUGAAAGUGUAAGCAUUCCACCUCAAGAGUACUGUGGCAACGCUGGAACUGAAAUCAUUAGACCGUUUCUGAGAACAGUAGUGAAGUAUGUUAUAUAAUUCGAUAGUCCUCGUAAAACCUUACCACAACUUGAAUAGUGUCCUACAUUAAUAGGAUGUUACAAGUGUUGCACGGUUGUCUUCAGCUAAUGUCGUGAGAUUGUGGUUAGUUCCAUAAAAUUAGCGUAAACCCCGGUUUUAUUUUUAAAUUAUAAUUAUGAUAAAGCAGUUCAGUCAUUAUAUCGACUUGUGAUAA
rnacentral:rRNA from 1 species